rnacentral:rRNA from 1 species
AUUGAACGCUAGCGGGAGGCCUAACACAUGCAAGUCGAACGAGAGGCGGACGGGUGAGUAAUAUAUGGGAAUGUGCCCGGUAGCGGGGGAUAACUACUCGAAACAGUGGCUAAUACCGAAUACUAUAGGAGCGGCCGAUAUGGGAUUAGCUAGUAGGUGGGGUAAAGGCUCACCAAGGCAACGAUCCGUAGCUGGUUGGAGAGGACGACCAGCCAAACUGGGACUGAGACACGGCCCAGACUCCUACGGGAGGCAGCAGUGGGGAAUUUUGGACAAUGGGGGAAACCCUGAUCCAGCCAUCCCGCGUGUAUGAGAAGGCCUUCGGGUUGUAAAGUACUUUUGGCAGAGAAGCGGUAUCUGCAGAAUAAGCACCGGCUAACUACGUGCCAGCAGCCGCGGUAAUUC